UCAAAUUGAGUAGUUUGUGUAUCAUGUUUCUUUUGCUACUGCAGGGGUUUGCAACCUUUGACUAAAGAAUGUCAUGCUGCCAAGCUUUUCUCAAAGCAUAUGAAGGUUGAGGAUCAGGUAGUGAUAUCUUUUCUCAAAACUUUUAUUAGGACCGAGUACUGUAAUAAUAUAUAAGGUGAGGAGGUCUUUCAAAGCGUUGCGUUGUUCAUAAAGUAAAUAUGUGUGCGCUCAUUUAUUUUUUAGAUAAUUCAUGGUAAAGUAAGAGUUCUUAUGUUUCGGAUUUACAGUUGUUUUAUUUUGACAAACAUAUUUCGAUAAUUUUUAUAUUUUAAAUAUUUUCAGGUAUACAUUGAAGGAUACUUGGUGUAAGCUGUAAAGUAAUGGGUCUUAUGCUCAAAAUGUUGUUUCUCUAUUUUUCUGCAUGUUUGUAUAUUUUUGGUUCCAUCUUUUGUAAAGUUAAUUAAUUAUACAUGGUUAUGAUGAUUUUUGGGUAUGGAAUAAUUGUUUUUUUGGUGGUUUGUAUAUAGAUUGAUGAUUAUAAGUUUUGUAGACAGGUUUAAAAUUUUUGGGAUAUCUAUUUUUAAAGGAAACUCUG
rnacentral:lncRNA from 1 species